GCUCCCCAAGGAUGACCCUCUACGAUAUGCAAGCAUCUGGGUUGAAGUAGAUGAAAGUACAGCACCAAAGUAUU